rfam:Oryza glaberrima chromosome 1 Oglab01_0230_6, whole genome shotgun sequence.
AAUAAAUACAGUUUUACACUAUUUAUCUCCAACGUUUUGAUCGUUGGUCUUAUUUAAAAAAUUUUUAUGAUUAUUAUUUUUAUUAUUAUUAGAUGAUAAAACAUGAAUAGUACUUUAUGUGUGACUAAUUUUUUUAAAAAUUUUCAUAAAAUUUUUAAAUAAAACGGAUGGUCAAAUGUUGGACACGAAUUUUCAUGUCUGCAAUUAGU